AAUGAACGCUGGCAGCAUGCCUAACACAUGCAAGUCGAACGAGACCUUCGGGUCUAGUGGCGCACGGGUGCGUAACGCGUGGGAACCUGCCCUUAGGUUCGGAAUAACUCCCCGAAAGGGGUGCUAAUACCGGAUAAUGUCUUCGGACCAAAGAUUUAUCGCCUUUGGAUGGGCCCGCGUUGGAUUAGCUAGUUGGUAGGGUAAAAGCCUACCAAGGCGACGAUCCAUAGCUGGUCUGAGAGGAUGAUCAGCCACACUGGGACUGAGACACGGCCCAGACUCCUACGGGAGGCAGCAGUGGGGAAUAUUGGACAAUGGGCGAAGGCCUGAUCCAGCAAUGCCGCGUGAGUGAUGAAGGCCUUAGGGUUGUAAAGCUCUUUUACCCGGGAUGAUAAUGACAGUACCGGGAGAAUAAGCUCCGGCUAACUCCGUG
rnacentral:rRNA from 1 species